CGAAUCGUUUAAUUCGAAGCGCGCAUGGCUUCAGAAAUUACCUCAGUCAUCUAACAUGGCGAUUUGCGAAGGGAACUCGCUUGCAGAAGUCAUCCUUUCGAUAAUUGUUGAACGAGUAAUACGUAAAGAUAUACAAGACUAAACGAAGAUGAAAGCAGUUCCAAGAGCCCAGAAUUAUUGCAGAGGAGCCUAGUUGACCGAUAUCUGAAUUAUAAUUACGUUCAAAGAAGAUACAUGGAUUUCUACGUUCAACGUGAUAAUUAAACAUUCGACAUCUGAAAUGAAACACACGUACAUCGGUACUUCUUGUUUUUCCUUACAUCAGACGAUAUGUCCUAUUUGGAUAAGACAAAUAUCCGACCGUCAACCAGAUUAGGAAAGGAAAACGUUUUUCUCUUCAGUCUUAUGUUUAAAUGAUUUUAUCAUGGCGACGAGAGUAUUUCUAUCGAUGAGUGGGUUAUUAGGUCUCUUACCUUAAGCAAUUUUAAAGGUAUUAUUUCAAUAUAAAUCAAGAAUCCGUAUAAUUUUCAACUGCUGUAAUAAAGAAUAUUCGAUAUAGGAAACAAAAUGCUUGAUGUAGGAGAGGAGAUGGUAAAAACGGCGGAGGAAGCUGAUGCUGCUUACGAGUUUAUUACAAAUCUUGCCAAUAAUCUGAAACCCAAGUUGGUGAGAGAGGAAGCUAAUUAUCUGGUGUAUGAAAGCAACAUGUUACUAUUGCUAGAACAAUACUAUAACAACCAUCGACUUCAAUAUUGAAUUUAAAUAAACGAGCGCAUUGGAUCGUGAAUGCAGAAGAGUGGUUUAAAAAGCAGUUGGAAAUUCUAACCAAGGAAGAAACAUCGUUAGCUAUUGUUCAUGUAUGCGUUAUCUGAUUGAGAAUACUUAAGAAGAGGAAAAAGAAGAAAAAACAUUUGUGCUUGACGACGAAGCUUGGAAAGACCAAUAUGGCGCUGUUUUAUGAAGCUUGGAACAGCGGUAAGAGGAAAUGGGAGAGAUUUACAUUUUUCAAAGGAUCCAAACGUGAGCGGCUUUAGCUGGAGCGUAUAUUCGAUUGAACUCGGAAAGAUUUAUUGAAAGGUCCUCCGAAGUUUCCCAUGAGGCAAGAAUCAAAGGGGACUUGACAUGAAACUGCGGGAUGUAUAUAAUACAGAAUAAUUUAGCAGACAGGAAUAACCAAAAGAUUCACCGUUUUUGGAAAUAAUGACUAGCAGUGGAAUACUUUUAAAUUAAACGUGAAAUAGGAAGUCCACGUUCACGUCAUCGUUAUUCCAUUGAUUUAAAUUAAGUAAUCAUCCGAUAUAAUUAAAACGAGAGAAACGUUGAAUUUUAUAUUCCAAUUUGUUUGUCAUGAUAUUCACAUCUAUUUAAAAAAUAUUCGUAAUAUUUAAUUAGCGUUUUCCAUAAAUUUUGAAAUUGGACGAAGUAAUUUGGUCAGUAGCGCGAAUUGCCCAUUUAAUUCGUUCUGAAAAGGAUUUAGUAACAAUGAAUGUCCGUGAUACGUUCUCCGUUACUUAUCAUUAAGUACCUUCCUUUUAAAUCUUUCGUUAUUAACUCUCUUCAUCUGCGUGCGCAUCUAUCUGCGUCAGUCGAGUGGCCGGGAUGGAGUAUGCUGUUCUGUGUUCGUGGGUGCGUCUAACUGCUGGCUUAUGUUGAAUAUAAGGAAAUAAUCCUUUCAUUUGCUUUUCUUUCAUCAGACCAAGCAGAUAAUUGAAGUUUAGCUGUACCAUUUAAUUACCUAUGUAGAUUCAUUGUUUGACAAUACAGUUACAUAUUGUGCAGAGUUAUGGACUAUAUUCUUAGACAUCAAUUGAUUUGGAACAUAAUAUAGGAAAUUUAAGAUAACUAGAAUUAUAACGGGGUUAUUAUUUUGCAUUCUCCAAUAGGAGGUAAUUUUCUAAAAAAAUGUAUUCGUUCAUAUGGAAGAAUCCAUUCUUCCUACUACAUCGAUCUGCAGAAGACUUAAUCAGGGAAUUAAAUCGUUCAGCUAAAUGGAUAAUUGAAUUAUUCCGCUAGUCGUUUUAUGGAAUUGUCUGCUUUGUUUGAUGAAAGGAAGACUAAUGAAGAAAUACCUUUCUUCUUUUCAAAAUAAGGGAGCAAGUGUACGUUGACACGCGCACUCAUUCCCGCCCCCUUGACUCGCGUACGUAAACGCGUACGUGCACGGAUGGAGGUAAUAAUAAAUCGUUUAAUAUGAUAAGGCUGGACAGUAGCUAUGAGAGAAGGUAUUGCGUACGCGCAGAUCGUUAAAAUCCGAUCAAUACGUAAAUGUCUACCUGGAAUUCCUCUUCGGUAUUACUUACAGCACGAAACUCACUCGUGUUUGGAAAUUUUGCGAUUCCCUUAAUGAAAAAGAAGUAAAUAAGUAAACGGAUUGGUAGUCUCAAAUUGUAUAUUACGACAUCACGGAAUGAUGCAUAACAAUAAUAUAAUACUUUCCUGGUUUCCUGACUAAUUAGUCGAGGGAUCUAUUUAUACUACUCGAAGUUUCAAUACGAAGUGAGCUCAACUUUGAAAAUCUCUUUCCCCAGUUUUAUGAAUAUUUGUUUACUUCAUCAAAUAUCACUAUAUCGUACGAGGCAUACUCAUGUACUAUUACAAACACAUCCUUCUUAUCGCUCUCUUUAAGCAUAUUAGAUAAGCAUCCAGACCGCUGUGAACGUACUUCUUUUUCAUAAGUAUACAAUAAUCAUUAUUGUAAUAAUUAAUUAUAUUAUAAAUAAUUACAGUUUUAUGAUUAUUUCAGUUAAAGAAGAUCAGAAUAAUUGUCAAUUUCAUUGGAAGAUUUCCAGAUUCAUGAGAUUAUUUUGCGUGUACAUAUAUUAUAUAUUACUGUUACUACAUAAUUACAGUAGAGGGGAAAUUUCUCAUCUUUUGCGUUCUAAUUAGAGAAUUAAAAUCCAGAAAGUUUGGUUUUCUAAUUUGAAAAUGUCACCUUAAACUGUAAUUCUUAUUACUUACAUUAUGAUAUAAUGCAUUAUUAUUAAUGAUUAUUUCAAUUAUUAACGUUAUAUCGAAUUAAUUGCUAUGAAAGUAUUUAAAUUAACUCACGUACGAAAAUUCUUGUUUCCUCUUUCGUAAAUCCAAGUUAUAUUUAAAAAUAGUGUUCCAUUACUAUUGGAUAUGGACGAUACUACUAUUUUCGUAUUACGAAAUUCCUUUUGUGAAAUCUUCUCUUGUAAAAUAUUUCUUCGUUGGAAGGUAUAUCUUCUUUGGUAUUCUUUGAAAACAUUGCAUCCAAUAUUACCUUUCCUUCUUGUAAACACAUACCUAUUGCUUAAGUUAACAAAGACAUCCUUUUCUUUAUUACGCAAUAGUAAUAAAAUAUAUUGCUUCGAAUAAAAUCCUGUCUCACAUUUAUUUUUUUAUCGUAAUAUUACUUUCUUUCCUUUUUCUUCUUCGAGAGAACCUCAGAAUUAUUUAAUGAUAUAUUGCAAAGAAUUUAAUGUAUAUUGAAGAACCACUGUUUCCACCGCAACUUUUUGAGAAAUACAUAUUUUUCUGAAGUUUUCUAUUGUAAUGACACAAUAAAAGAAAUCAAAAGAUCGUUCAAUUACUAAGUUACAUGAAAAGAAUAUCAGUCGAUCUUACGAAAGAGAACGUGGGUUGUGUUUUCACGACAAUAUGAGCCCUUCUCUGUUUCACUGAAGGAGAAUAAUAACAAGAAGUUGUAUAUAUAGCGAAAUUCGAUGAAGUAAACAAGCGAUCGUAAAACUGGAGAAAGAGAUUUUCAAAGCUGAAAUCAGUUCGUACUGAAGCUUCGAGUAGUAUAAAUAGAUCCCUCGAAUAAUUAGUCAGAAAACUAGGAAAGUAUUAUGUAUUAUUAUGUAUCAUUCCGUGAUUUCGUAAAAUGCAAUUAUCUCCAUAUCUGUUUUUUUUUUUUUAUUAGAAGAUCGGCUAGAUGUCCAAAUACGCACACGUCUCAUGAUAUAAGAUAUAAGCGGUGAAUAAGAAUUUCAAAUAGGCGUUUAUACAGCCACGUUAGAAAAAAUAAAUAUUAAUCUGGAAGAAAACGAUAGAAGUGAUAGUUAUAUCAUCUAUCAAAAAAACAAGAGAUCUCAUCGAUGAAAGAGAUGCAAAUAUGUGAACUACGUUUGUUCGAUAAAGUACCAUCGAUUUGCUGAGAGCUAACGUCCGAAAGGGUUCAUGGCAGUUAUGGAAUCCAUGGAUGGGGAGUUUUAGCUAGAGGGUAUAAUCGAUUCAAGUCGAAAGGACCGUUGAAGGAUUGUCAGACGUUCCAUGUGGAACAUAAUCAAAGUGAAAUUAAGAUGGAACUGAAAGUUUAUCAUCUAUCAUAAGUAAACCUACGAGAACGAUAUAAAGACUCACCGCUUUUCCAGAUAACAAUACUAGCCCGAGAAUAUUUUUAAAUUAUACGAGAAAUGUUAAGGCCAUGUUUACGUCAUAGUUAUUUCAUCAAUUUAAAUUGAGUAGAAUAUCCCAAUAGAAGAAAUUUUGAGGUCAGUGUUUCAAAUUAUUCUUCAUAUAGUAUUCACGAUAUGUACUAGAAAAAUAUUUAUAAUACUUAGUGUACGUUUUUUAGUAAUAUCGAAAUUUGAACGAAUUAAUUUGCUGUGUAAUCCCAACUCUCUUGUUAGUAAGUUUUGAUUGGGUCUUACUGAAAAUGCAUGUACGUAUCGUUAAUUACUCUCGGAUUAAAAGAUUUGUUAUUGCCUCUCUCCAUGCACGUGUGCUCUUGUGUACGCUUUUGUGCACUGACAUGUGGACGGGAAUACGUGUGUCUUUCUAUCUGCGUGUGAACGGACACAUGUUGUCUCAUUUUGAAAAUAAGAAUUAAGAUCAGAAUCAUUUGUUUUCAUAGAAUUUUGAUUUCUUUUGCAAGAAAUUUGUUCCUCGAUCUAUAUAAAUUCAGAUAAAACAAAUACCACUACAUAUAUUCCUUGGUGUACCAAAGUGAGACUAUGUAAUAUGUUACACUAUAUACCACGUUUGUGCGACGUUAAUACCGCCCUGUUGCUGCUACCAAACGUUCGAAAGGACGCCGAGUAUAAAAGGUAAAUACGGAAUAAUAUCAAAAUAGAAAUCAUUCUGUGCUUUUCAUCUUUUUACCGAAAGAACGAAGAAUUGAUAUGCUUUUGCUUGAUUUUUGAUAAACUGAAUAUUAUUAUUAUUAUAGUAAUAAUUAUAAUAUUUCAAGUUAAUGUUUUAGAUAUAAUAGAAUCGACAAAUGAAUUAUUUUCAUAAUCGUAAUAUUUAAACGAUAGUAUAUUCGCUUAAACAUUACGAAGAUCGUAACGUGCGAAUAACAUAAAAUAAUUUUCAGCUAAAAUUUAAAUAAUUUAUGAUUUUCAUAUUGGAAUAGUUGCAUCUGAGUUUCAUCGCUGCGUGUAAUGUCAAUAAAAACGAACAUUGGAAUGACUUUGACGGUUACCCUCACUUUUUAAAGGUGAAAACUUCAAACUUAAUACUUUUGAUAAUUUUAAACUCAUUUAAACGAUAUAAAUGUACGACGAGUUAAACUAUCCAUUAUUUAAGCAGUAGUAGAUUCCGUUAAACAUUACACGCCACGAAACACCGACGGAAUAUCAGAUAAUUUUUAUUUAUUCUCUGUUGGACUCGAAUUUUGAAAUGGCCGUUGUUGGCAACAUGUAAAGUCAAUAAAUGAUUAGUUUGGUCGGUUACCGAAUUAGUUUUCCUUUGUACUCCGACGAAUAAACAUCGAAGCUCUCUCGCUGCCACCCGCAAAGAAUGAAAGUUACAUUCACGUAGGUGUAUAUAAGAAAAUAUAUUAUAUAAGUUUUUCUUUAAGGUAAUUGUAAAAAAAAUGUAAUGAACUAACGAAAAUAUUUGUAUCUCUCUCUAUGAGUAAACGUAAUUAAGCUAGGAAUAGAUGUACAUUGUAGCCAUUAAUAUUUUUCUGUAAUGAUUUCUUGAAUUCUGCGCUCGACUCUUUUCGAUGUGUAUGUAAGGAACAUCAACUUUUCGCAAUGUGUGUGGUAACAUCGCAUCGGAAACUAAGUCUUGCGAAUAAAAGGAAAUAUCGGUUUAA